rnacentral:rRNA from 1 species
AUUGAACGCUGGCGGCAUGCUUUACACAUGCAAGUCGAACGGUAACAGCACUUCGGUGGCUGACGAGUGGCGAACGGGUGAGUAAUGUAUCGGAACGUGCCCAGUAGUGGGGGAUAACUACUCGAAAGAGUGGCUAAUACCGCAUGAGAUCUCUGGAUGAAAGCGGGGGACCGUAAGGCCUCGCGCUACUGGAGCGGCCGAUAUCAGAUUAGGUUGUUGGUGGGGUAAAGGCCUACCAAGCCUGCGAUCUGUAGCUGGUCUGAGAGGACGACCAGCCACACUGGGACUGAGACACGGCCCAGACUCCUACGGGAGGCAGCAGUGGGGAAUUUUGGACAAUGGGCGCAAGCCUGAUCCAGCAAUGCCGCGUGCAGGACGAAGGCCUUCGGUUGUAAACUGCUUUGUACGGAACGAAAGACCUUCUUCUAAUACAGGAGGGUCGAUGACGGUACCGUAAGAAUAAGACACCGGCUAACUACGUGCCAGCAGCCGAC